rnacentral:rRNA from 1 species
UACGGAGGGUGCGAGCGUUGUUCGGAAUCAUUGGGCGUAAAGCGCGUGUAGGCGGCUUGGCAAGUCGGUUGUGAAAUCCCGGGGCCCAACCCCGGAACUGCAAUCGAAACUGCCUCGCUAGAGUCCCGGAGAGGAAGGCGGAAUUCCCGGUGUAGAGGUGAAAUUCGUAGAUAUCGGGAGGAACACCAGUGGCGAAGGCGGCCUUCUGGACGGUGACUGACGCUCAGACGCGAAAGCGUGGGGAGCAAACAGG